AAGCUACUUAUUCCCUAACUUAGAAUUUGGAUUCUUCUCUUAAGAUUCCUUUCUAAAGAGAAGGGUUCUAGAAGAUAGCUUCAAGAAAAAUGAAGGCAGUCGACAGAACCCUAGACUGAGAAUUUAAGAAUUUAAGGUUGGAUAAAGAACAACUUCUCUGAUCCUUAAUUUCCUCAACUCUAAAAUGAGUGGUUUAGAAGACAUUAUCUGCAAGGUUCCUAACAGAGCUAAAAUUCCACGGCUCUCCUUUUUAAAAAAAUUAUCUUCUACCUCCUUCCACCUCUAUUCCUUCUUCCACCUAUUUCAUUUCAAACACACUCUGAACAGAAGUGUUUAGACACAGUACCCAUGAUUUAAUCUUAUAGAAAUAUAUCAGAGAAGACUAAAAAGCUUGGAAACAGAAAGGAACAAACGGAAAUUAUUCCCUGCCAACUUUCUUCAUGGGAAAAAGGCAUUUUCUUCUAGAGAAAAAAAUCUGUUGAGGUACUACGGUUUUAAAAAAAAUGGCUCCAUUUUCUCAUAAGGACAUUGUUUUAUAUAAUUUUUAUAUAAUUGCCCUUAAGAAGAAUAUGAGGUAAUAGAGAAGUAAACCCUUUGAAAGUAGUCUCUUAUUUUAACUUUAAUAUACAUCAUCCAUUCAUUUAGUCAUCCACUAAGAUAUUUUCUGAUCACAUAACCAUGUAAGUCAUUAGUUCUCUUUAACUCAUUUGUAUUUGUAAUUAUCACUCAUCUUGUGGCUGAAACCAGAAACACGGGAGUCACCCGGAGUCCUCCUUUUCUUUGACCACAGAUCCAACCAACUACCAAAUCCUGACGACCCGACUUCAGAACAGACCUUGAACCAUCCAUUUCUCUGCUGCUCUUCUGCCAGCCCAGUCAUUGUCUUACCUAAACUCUUUAAGAGCCUCGUGGUGGCCUCUUUGUACUCUGGCCAUCCUCCAACCUCCUCUCCACAGAGCAGCCCUAGCACUCCUUUUAAACCCACAAACUUGGCUGUGCCACUCCCCAAGGAACACUCUUCAGUGUCAUAUCAAUGGCUUUUGCAUCAAAUCUACACUCUUUCCCUAGCCUUCAAGGCAUAUAGCAUUUGGUUCCUGUCUACCUUUCCAUCAUUAACUAGCCAUGUGAGCUUGAGCAAGUUAUAGGAUCUCUCUUCACAUUAUAAAUUUUAUGCUAUAAAAUGCAGCUAAGAAGAACCUGCCUGUAAAGUGCUUGUGACAGUUCUUGGUACAUAGCAAGUACUCAGUGAGUGUUAACUAUGUGAAUAUUUUAUAGCAGACAAAGACUCAGAGAAUGUCCACUCUGUGUAUAACUCUAAGCUAGGUACUUCUAAACACUAGUGAACCCUUUCUAAUACUUCUCCCAACAUACACCCUUUUCUGAUUGCUAUGUCAACAAGGGGAUUACUACAUUUAACUGAACUACAUAAAGUCUUACACUCGGGUUACACAAAAAAUGGCUUAGGGCAUUUCAUGUGAAAAGACCUUAAGGACUUUGGGCGAAUGCAAGCAAGCAACUAAGAGAAAAGAGCACAGUGGUUUCCAUAUCACCUCCCUACCCCAAUGCACACACAGAAAAAACUAAAGAAAUCUUAGAUCAUGAUACUAUUUUUACCUAAAAUAAGAGAAGUCACAUGUUGCACUGGUCAGAUAGUAUUUGGUUUUAUUCAAGUCAGCGUAUUCUAACAGCAACAUUAACAUGUCAAUUAAGGGACAAAUUUAGGACAAGUAGGAAGGUAAGGGGCCUGUGAAGAAUGUUACAUACGACAUAGUUAAGGGAAUUGGGGUAAUUAGCCUUGGGAAGAAAAGACCUGGAAGACGCGAUGGACAAGAUAUUUCAAAUAGUUGAAAAAUCUUUUUAUAGAAAACACAUUAUAUAUGUCCUAAUGACCAGAGCUGGACCCAAAGUAUGGAAGUUACAAGGAAGAAGACUCCAAUUCUCAUUAUUAGAAAUAUGCAAAAAUGGGAGGAAAAACACUUAGGAGAGUAGCAAAUGGCUCUUCAUAGGAAAAGUUUUAAGUACAGGCUGAAUGAUCAUCUUCUAAGAACCAUGUGGAAGGAAUUUCCUUUUUGGAUAAGAGCGAGGGACUAGAUAAUAACAGCUAACAUUUACUAAGCACUUAAUAAUGUGCUAAGAGUUUUACAAAAACUCUUAGAGAUAGGUGCUACCAUUUUGCUGAUGAGGAAAUUGACAUAGGUUGUGACUUGUCUACAGUCCAACAAGAAAUAGCUGAAACAGGAGUCAAAUCAAGGCUGCUUGACUCCAGAAUUUGGACUCUCAGUCUCCAUGAUACACAACUUCUAAACCAGCGAUUUCAGAAUGUUUCCCACCUCUAAUUUCCAUGUUUCUAUUUUUCACAACUUUCUGCAGUUACUUGUUAAUUGGCAUCCCAUAUGCCUGUAAAUUUGUGUUAAUAAGAUUUGUUAGAAAAGAAAGUUUUUCUGGAAUAGAUGAAUGCAUACCAUUUCCCGGAGAUGUACCAGAAUUCGUAUGUAAUGAGAGAGUUGUAGCAGAAGAGGAACAUUAGUCUAUGCAAACCUUCCAAGAAAAAGAAGUCUCUGUAACCAAAAAGGACCCUACAAGAAAUUCCUCUGCUCAUUCAGAAAGAGAAUUUCUGAGACAAUUUUAGAUAUACAAUCAUUUUAAAUAUGCAAUACUUAACAAAGAGAUAUAAGAGAGAAAAAUCAAAAGGUAUAGCAACCUUUACAAGUAUCUUCUUCUUGCCAUUAGAUUACAGAAGGAUAACGGCAGGAAGUUAUUAAGACUGCUAACAUUCUGCAAAUAGAAUAAUCACUAUACAAUGUUCCCCAGAAGGAGAGAGUUUACAAAGUAAAAUGUUCUGGAGUAAUUUGAGAUUCAGAUAAAAAUGGAGUGGAUAAAUGAGAUAAUGGCAGAGAGCAGAACACCCCACAGAAUGCACAGAUAUUCUGUUCUGGUAAGAACUUUCGGGUCUAUUACUAUGCUCAGAUGUCUCAUAUGGUCUCAUCAGGCACAAUUUUGCAGUGACAGUAAAAAAUACAAUUUGCUCAUUUAGAACAUGUUUUAGAGCUGGGUGAGAAAUAAUUUCCCUAAAUUGAAUAUUUGGGAACCAAUUACAACUGCAAAUCUGCUAUUAACCUCAAAAUAGGUAAUUGCAAGUUUGUGUCUAAAUCCAUUUGUCAUAAUAGAGCAAAUUAAGAAUCACAUGAUGGACGUGAUUAAUGUGUGACAGUUAUGAGCACCAUGAGCCCAAACUAAUAACAACAUCAAAGAGAGAUUCCAAAUGUGAUGCAGCCAUGAAGGCAAAACUAAUUUUCGAAUUAUAAUAGCAACAUCCAAGAAAGCUAAUGUUUUCUUUGUGUGAUAGUCACGGCUGGGCAUCUGGAGGAUGGCCGGCCACUAAUGUCCUAAUAAAUGGCAGGCACACACUGGAAAGACAGUCAUCAUGUGGUGAACUGAGCAGAGUUGCUGAUGCCGUUGUCAUAAUGGACUGACCAGGCAGCGGGUCACAGGGGCUGGAUGGGCCUGAGAGUUCUGACUCACACUGCACAAACACAUUGUCAGUGCAUAUAAGUAAGAUUCCUGCUUUAUUCCUGUGUAGCAUUUCUUCCCUAUUUUCCCGCUGAGAGAAUUCUAGAUGACUUGGAAAAUACUUGGUAGUGUCAGAGUGAGACCUUGCUUUGGCAACAGUCACCUUGGAGUUAAGAGAGAAAACUACCUGCAGAUUCUGUGAGAACAGGGCCUUCAGCUGAUGCUUGGGGGGAACACCCACUCUGGCGGGCACUGGCAGCCUGGUACUGCCUGGUGAACAGUACAGUGAAAGGCAAUGACCCUACCUGCUUGACUGACUGAAUGAUGGACGCUGCCUAGGAAGUACGAGUGUCACUGAUUAAGAAUUCUUAUACCAGAAGUAUACAGCUAGGAGGACAAAGGGCAUUGGCUUCAUAAGCAACCAGGAUUGAUACAUUGGAGAACAAUCUGAACAUAAUGCAAAUCUCAUAUUUGCUUACGCCAGUUCUCGGUGAGAAACACUAGGUGAGCACAGAAAACUGCACCCAGCUGAACUGUACUGCGGAGAAGCUUACAAAACACACGCAAGCACACCUCUCAAACUUCUCAUUUCGCUUUGUGUGUUAUGACUCAGUUAUGAGCCACAUGCAUGCCUAUCUGCUGUCACAACUCUCCGUCGGAGUUCAGAUCACCUCCUUCUACAACUUCACCCUCUCACUCCGACUUCCACAGGAAAUAAGGAAAAUGCAGAACAGAAUCUACUAUCUGCAGCAGGACAAAAUCCUGAAGAUCUCCAAUUAACAGGCCCCCAUGGCUUAUGAUGAGGACUUUAGAGGGCGAGGAAAAAGACUCAUGCAAACUUAAUAGCUCAAGACACGCGUCUAGUAAGACAGGAGUCGUGGCUUGGCCUGCUCGUGCUCUUUGCAUACUGUGUGUCCAGAAAAUAAAACCUGUCUUCUGUGGAUAUGUUGUUUAUUCUGUUUAACCAAUGUCUACAAUAAAGAUAUUCAAAGCCAAGAAAUUUAUCACAAUUUAGCGCAUGUUAAAUAGAUGCUGUGCAACCAUGGCUGGGUAUGAGAAAAUUGGAAAAUGGAUUUUGAGUGUCAACACUGAAUGAGAAGCUCUAGUCAGGUCAAGCAAUGAAUAAAUCCAUGCCUAUUUUAAUGAUAAAAGACAAUACUUUGAUAGCAUUUAAUUCAUCAUGGGAUAGGUGAAAAUGAAUUGAUGCUGAUGGCUGAGAGAAUUAUUUUAUAAAUUAAUUAGAUUUCUUUGUAUAAAUAUUGGCUAAAAGAAUACUGUUGGAUUUAUUUUUUUGGGUACAUAUAUGUUUAAAAACAAACUGAAAAAAAUCUACCAAUGAUAAUUUAAAAUUACCAAUAUAAAGAAGAGUACUAUCAAGUAUUCUUUAGCACACAGGGCCAAUUGUAAUAUGUCUUCUUUUUUUAAAGGAAAAAUAAUUUUUAAAAAAUAAGGAUCAAAUGACAAAAAAUUCAGAAGUCCUCUUCAUAAUAUAGGCUGCAUGUAAUACAGCUACAACAUCCUGAGUCUGUGAUUAGUCUAAAACCAAGUAAUUCUAUAUCCAGGAGUCUAGCAAGAUAUCGCCUUUCAACUCAUUGCAACUUUUUUCUACUGCAGAAACAGAUUAAUCUGAAAACUUACUGGUCAAACACUUUUCCUCCACUUUUGUAAUUUAAAAAAAUUUUCAAUCAUUUUCUCUUAAAGAUGUCAUACAGGGUGCUAACGCUUUCACAAGCACAAUCAACACCUUCAGAGCACUGAAAAUUUGAUGUGAGUUGAAUAUACGGGCUGCUACAAAUAGUCCUUUUUCAAAUUAGUUUAGUUUUAGCAGUAGUAUUCUUAUAGAAGACCAAAGAAAUUAUUUUAUAAGAAGUAGAGCAACACAUUUAAAUUAAAGAUCAUUUACUACAUAUGAAUGAAACACCAAACACAUAAACAACUGGUCCUACUGACAAUAGACUAAAUUUGGAUGUUUAGUUUUCAAAUGUGAAAUUUUGCUUAAAUGGAUUAAAAGAAUGAAAUUAUUCAUCUAGAUAUGGUACUACAUUUGCAUUUUUUGAUCCACUAAUUAAAUGUAAAAGUGAAAAACAGCAUGAUGAUCUGAUCUUUUAUUUAGUUUACUGUAUGUAACUGCCUACCUGGAAUUUAACCCCAAGCUAAGUUUUCUCUUAGACAGCAACGAAAGUAAGCAAAGAAAGAAUUUUGUGCAAAGACGCCAACUCAAUUAUACUUGAUAAUGAAGAAGAUAAUCCCAGAUGGUUAUUUCACCUCAUAGCAUGUCUAUUUGCCCACAGGCGUGUUGUCAUCUGAACACCUAAAUGAAAAUGUAUUUGGAGUUUGUAAUAUUUCUAGAUAAAUAAUUAGGACAUACUGUGACUCCCUGAACUAAUUUCUCCACCAGGUUACCCCUAACGGAACUGUUCACGGAUCUCUAUUCAAAGAGGACCACCUCCACUGGGUUCCAGGAGAAAGCUUUGAAGAUCCUUUCUGUUCCUCCCCCAACUCCUCUUCAUUUCCCUCCGUGGAAGAGGAGUUGUGAAUCUGAAGUCAGAUUCCAGGAUGGCAACAUGUUCUUGGGAGGAAACUUUCAAAAAUGAUAAGAGCUUUUCUUUACCUACUGUGGUGGCUGCCGUCCUCUGGCAUCCUUUUGUGAGUCUCCGCUCAGCACCCUCCUUCCCAUCCCUUUCCUUCAGUCGAGGCAGACAGAACUGGAGCUACUGUCCAGGGAGAACAGGUGUGAGAGGGUGCAGAUGGAUGUGCUUUUUGAUUUCAAUAGGGUUACCAAUUUUAAGAUUGGUGUUUGGGGGCAGGAACCCGCUUGGUCCUUCAGUCAAGACAAAAGGAGCACUCUGUGUAUUUUUUUUUUUUUUUGGUGAGGAAGAUUGGCCCUGAGCUAACAUCUGUGCCAAUCUUCCUCUGUUUUGUAUGUGGGACACUGCCACAGCA